rnacentral:misc_RNA from 1 species
AACGCACAUUGCGCCCUUUGGUAUUCCUUAGGGCAUGCCUGUUCGAGCGUCAUCUAAAACCCUCAAGCGCUGCUUGGUGUUGGGCGCCUUGUCCCGCCCUCCCGGGGGCGCGGACUCGCCUCAAAAGCAUUGGCGGCCCGUGUGAUCGGCUUCGAGCGCAGCAGACUCGCGCCUCGCAAGACCCUCCCGCGCGGGCGUCCACGAAGAUACACCCCAAGUUUGACCUCGGAUCAGGUAGGGAUACCCGCUGAACUUAA